GAAAAUUUCCAUCCCAAGUUGCCCUUUCUCCACUAAAUGGCAGGUGGAAGGUUCCUUCUCAGGAGAAAUUGAACCAGAGAGUCUCUUGGAGUGGCAGACGACAUAGAUGGGAGGAGGAGGUGCCCUCUGAAGCCUUCAGUCAGCAGAUCUCUGACUGCUGAAGUAUAAAUACAAACAACGGAGUCAAAUUGGAAAUAGGAUAACAGCUGUUUUGAUGGCAAAGUAGUGUGGAGAACAAAGCUUGGGACUGAGAUUGAAACAAAAAGAAGUGACAACUUCUUUGCUCCUUGAAUUGAAGCCAGGGUCGCAGAACAGAGCUGGCCUACCUGCAGGCUGACCAUUUGACCUGGGAGAUCCCAAGCCCCAAGGGAGGGGCCAAGAAGUUGAAACGAAGGCACUCACAAUCUCCCUUUCUUAACAGACUGUGUCUCAUAAGAGGGAAAACAGUCUUCUUCCAUUCCUUGAAACUUUAUGCUCUCAUUUUUCUGAGUGCUUUUGCUGGGAACGUUUGAUGUCAUGGUAUUUCAACUUUUAUUUCUGAAGUUAAGCACUGUACUUACCAAAGACGCCAUCGUUGCUUUGUUAACUUCUUGAUUAUUUCUUGUACACAGUGGCAUCAAUAUUGCUCAGACCCAGUGCAUUCAUUACACAAAUUUUACUCAUGGGUGCAGUGAAGUGUGAAGGAUAGUUGGAAGGAAAUGAUAACCAACCAGGCUUUUUCUCUGGAACAGGAAGAAUAACCAAAUGCAUUAUUAAAAUUUAAGUAGAUACCUUUUUCUCUUCCACUUUCUUUAUAGAAGCACUUCCUAAUAGUUAAAAUUCUUCAGCCCAAGACAAUGUAUUAUGGUGCAGUGAAAGAAAUAAAAGUCCU
rnacentral:lncRNA from 1 species